UCAGUUCAGAUCGUAGGCUGCAACUCGCCUACGUGAAGUAGGAAUCGCUAGUAAUCGCAGGUCAGCAUACUGCGGUGAAUACGUCCCCGGGCCUUGUACACACCGCCCGUCACACCAUGGAAGUUGGCCAUGCCCGAAGUCGUUACUCCAACCCUUGUGGAGGAGGGCGCCGAAGGUGGGGCUAAUGACUGGGGUGAAGUCGUAACAAGGUAGCCGUACCGGAAGGUGCGGCUGGAUCACCUCCUAA
rnacentral:rRNA from 1 species